rnacentral:rRNA from 1 species
UCACGGCUAGAACUGAACGCCGGCCGGCCGGCUUCACACAUGCAAGUUCGAAACGGUAGCAGGAGAAAGCCUUGGCCUUUUCUUGCUGAACGAGCGGCGGAACGGGUGAGUAAUGCUUCGGGAAAUCUGGCUUCAUGGAGGGGGAUAACUACGGGAAACUGUAGCUAAUACCGCGUAGAAUCGGAAGAAUGAAAGUGCGGGACCGCAAGGCCGCAUGCCAUGAGAUGAGCCCAAGUGGGAUUAGGUAGUUGGUGGGGUAAAGGCCUACCAAGCCUGCGAUCUCUAGCUGGUCUGAGAGGAUGACCAGCCACACUGGAACUGAGACACGGUCCAGACUCCUACGGGAGGCAGCAGUGGGGAAUAUUGCGCAAUGGGGGCAACCCUGACGCAGCCAUGCCGCGUGAAUGAAGAAGGCCUUCGGGUUGUAAAGUUCUUUCGGUAUUGAGGAAGGUUGAUGUGUUAAUAGUACAUCAAAUUGACGUUAAAUACAGAAGAAGCACCGGCUAACUCCGUGCCAGCAGCCGCGGUAAUACGGAGGGUGCGAGCGUUAAUCGGAAUAACUGGGCGUAAAGGGCACGCAGGCGGUUAUUUAAGUGAGGUGUGAAAGCCCCGGGCUUAACCUGGGAAUUGCAUUUCAGACUGGGUAACUAGAGUACUUUAGGGAGGGGUAGAAUUCCACGUGUAGCGGUGAAAUGCGUAGAGAUGUGGAGGAAUACCGAAGGCGAAGGCAGCCCCUUGGGAAUGUACUGACGCUCAUGUGCGAAAGCGUGGGGAGCAAACAGGAUUAGACACCCUGGUAGUCCACGCUGUAAACGCUGUCGAUUUGGGGAUUGGGCUUAAAGCUUGGUGCCCGUAGCUAACGUGAUAAAUCGACCGCCUGGGGAGUACGGCCGCAAGGUUAAAACUCAAAUGAAUUGACGGGGGCCCGCACAAGCGGUGGAGCAUGUGGUUUAAUUCGAUGCAACGCGAAGAACCUUACCUACUCUUGACAUCCAUGGAAUCCUGUAGAGAUACGGGAGUGCCUUCGGGAACCAUGAGACAGGUGCUGCAUGGCUGUCGUCAGCUCGUGUUGUGAAAUGUUGGGUUAAGUCCCGCAACGAGCGCAACCCUUAUCCUUUGUUGCCAGCGAUUUGGUCGGGAACUCAAAGGAGACUGCCAGUGAUAAACUGGAGGAAGGUGGGGAUGACGUCAAGUCAUCAUGGCCCUUACGAGUAGGGCUACACACGUGCUACAAUGGCGUAUACAGAGGGUGGCGAAACUGCGAAGUGGAGCGAAUCUCAGAAAAGUACGUCUAAGUCCGGAUUGGAGUCUGCAAACUCGACUCCUUGAAGUCGGAAUCGCUAGUAAUCGCGAAUCAGAAAUGUCGCGGUGAAAUACGUUUCCCGGGCCUUCGCGCCCCCCCCCGU